rnacentral:rRNA from 1 species
AUUGAACGCUGGCGGCAGGCCUAACACAUGCAAGUCGAGCGGAUGAUGGGAGCUUGCUCCCGGAUUCAGCGGCGGACGGGUGAGUAAUGCCUAGGAAUCUGCCUGGUAGUGGGGGACAACGUUUCGAAAGGAACGCUAAUACCGCAUACGUCCUACAGGAGAAAGCAGGGGACCUUCGGGCCUUGCGCUAUCAGAUGAGCCUAGGUCGGAUUAGCUAGUUGGUGGGGUAAAGGCCUACCAAGGCGACGAUCCGUAACUGGUCUGAGAGGAUGAUCAGUCACACUGGAACUGAGACACGGUCCAGACUCCUACGGGAGGCAGCAGUGGGGAAUAUUGGACAAUGGGCGAAAGCCUGAUCCAGCCAUGCCGCGUGUGUGAAGAAGGUCUUCGGAUUGUAAAGCACUUUAAGUUGGGAGGAAGGGCAGUAAGUUAAUACCUUGCUGUUUUGACGUUACCAACAGAAUAAGCACCGGCUAACUUCGUGCCAGCCGCCGCCGUAAUAC